UACGGGGGGAGCAAGCGUUUGUUCGGAUUUACUGGGCGUAAAGGGCGCGUAGGCGGUCGUGACAAGUCACUUGUGAAAUCUCCCGGGCUUAACUCGGAACGGUCAAGUGAUACUGUCGGACUAGAGUACAGAAGGGGGCAACUGGAAUUCUCGGUGUAGCGGUGAAAUGCGUAGAUAUCGAAGAGGAACACCUGCGGCGAAGGCGGGUUGCUGGGCUGAUACUGACGCUGAGGCGCGAAAGCCAGGGGAGCGAACGG
rnacentral:rRNA from 1 species